ACUAUAUUAACAUAUACAAUGUAUUAAGUUUAGAACUUAACCAAGUAGAUUUCUUAACACUACAUUUAGUA